UUUUGUAUGCGUAACCUAGGCG
rnacentral:miRNA from 1 species